AGUGAGGAGGAAACAGUUGGAAGGUAGGGGAACACACGGAGGACAUUACGUGCUCCGAUCGAGUCCACUUGCUCCUUCUAUCCCUUUCCACAGCAUGGUGAUGGGGCUGCAGCUCCCUGCUUGCCAAUGGCUCCAAAAUUGGAGAGCCCCCACAACCAUAGCAAGAACACCACCCGAUUACCUCUCUCUCUCUCUCUCUCUCUCUCUCUCAUACACAUACGUACUACGAAUACAUGCCACAUUGCUUUUCGUCUUUGAGUGAGCUGAACAGAGAGAGCUGCUGCCAUUGCUGCUAGCUGCUGCUGCAGCACCAGGGGAUCAGCUGGUGAAACCCAUGUAUGUUAGGGAUCGGGGAGAUCUGUGUAGGUGUAUGGUAUGUCUGCAUGCAGCAUUUGUGACACAAGACAAGAGUCCAUGCAAUUGCACCCACUGUGGUCCUCUUGAUUGCAGUGGGCACCCUGGCUUGCCAUACCACCUAUUUGUCACUUUCCGAGCUCCUUUCCCAACCCACCCCCCCUCUCUCUCUCUUUCAUAUUUUUUUCUGCUGCUGCUAUUUGAAAUCCUUGUUAGGAUUCUGGGGAUCUACUUCUGCAUUGGUGAAAAUUUGGGCCCCUUUUAUAACUUAUAUGCAUUGGAAAUGGACCUGAUCACAAAUCUAAAUUCCAGACCCUACAAUGAUGAAUUCCAAGCAGAAUAAUAUCUAAUAGUGGCAAACAUUUAAGCCUAUCUUAGCAGAUAUGGAUGUAGUUGGCUCAAGUAUUCCUCACACCUGCAAAACUCUGCUCAUUGCAGUGGCAUCUUAAGCUUGCUUGGUCUUAUUCUGUUGAUGGUCCUAUGUAGCUAAGAACCUUACCAAGAUGGCUGCUUGCUCUUUUGGUUGUAAUUUGUCUGGUUGACACAUUGCAGGGGCAGAUAGACCAUACAUUUGCAUAAAAGAGCAGACAUGAAAUGCAGAUUUUGGCCAUGUCUUCUGACCUAAAGAAUCAGUUUCAGUCACAAUGAGGCAUAACAAGAGCCUGUUCACAACUAGGUAAAUUGAUCCUACCAUUUCUUUCUAUCUUUUCUACUAUUGAGAAUGAAUUCAGUGGACACAGAAAGAGUGUUGGGUAACAUUGGACCCCUACUAUGCUCUAUGGUGAAUAGAAUUAAGACACCAAGGCUAGAACACAGAAUAAGUUGCGAGGACAAAUGUGCUUCUGGUGAUAAUCUCAGUUGCAGUGGAGUCUCUACCAGCUAAGUUGGUGCUCCAAAGACUCUGGUUAUUAAUGAUCAACAAAUAGAAGUAGCUUCUUUAUCAACACAUCAAUUGACAGCUGAGUAUUGAGCAUUUCUAACCUUUGUUGCAGCUCAUAUUGUUUAUACAUGAGAGCAUUGUCAUUUUGUUGCAACAAUUUUAUGAGCAUCGAUCGGUUUGUCCAAAUUAUAGCUGUAGUUUUCGGUGUUUAAUGCAGAGUAUUGAAGGUCUCAAUCCCAAUAACUUGUUCCAAGAUGCUGAUGCAAGAAAAUCUGAUGACAAGUCUAAAGUUCACAGCGACCCUAACCAUGUCUCCAUCUACGGCAUUGUUCAGCAUCUCCUCAUCUUGUUGGCCACCAAGCUGUCAACUAGGAGUAUCUGCAGCAGGCUCAUCAGCUAAGAACCAGCACAGGGAAGAAUGAGAAACCAUUCCAUUAAGCUAUCUGGAAGGAAUUUGUCACUGUUGAUCUUCAGGUUCAGAAUGCGACCGAAGGUUGUUACCCCUUUCUGCUUGAUGGAGAAGGCUUCUCUUCUUGGAGAUGCUAUCAAAAAUCUACAAGCAUUACAGGAUAAGAUGAAGAUCCUUGAAGACCAAGCUGCAAGGAGGAGUGCAGGAGCAGCAGUGUUCGUAUCAUUCAAUUCAUUAUUGUGCUUCAAGGGCCUCUAAAUCUUUUGAUUUCCUGCUUCGUGAGUAUGUAUUUACUGUUGAUUCUUUCCUCUUCUUUGAUUACUUGAUAGCCUUCAA